rnacentral:rRNA from 1 species
AUGGCGUUCACGCUGGUGGGAGCCUUCAAGGGCCUGUCCCUUGCGUCCUCCUCCUCCUUCCUCCACGGCGACCACGCCGCGCUCCCCGGCGGCGCCACCGGCGGCGUGGGCGUGGCGACACUGCUGGCGCGCGGGCUGACCAUCCAGAUCGCGCACAAGAAGGGGGUCGGGAGCACCAAGAACGGCAGGGACUCCAAGGGCCAGCGCCUCGGGGUCAAGAUUUACGGCGACCAGCUCGCCAAGCCCGGCGCCAUCAUCAUCCGCCAGCACGGUGUCACGCCCCGAUCUGGAUCGAGGGCGACCAGAGUAGGCCAGAGAGAGGAAGGGGUGAGGAUGGCAUGA